GAUGAAGAACGUAGCGAACUGCGAUAAGUAAUGUGAAUUGCAGAAUUCAGUGAAUCAUCGAGUCUUUGAACGCACCUUGCGCCCUUUGGCUAUUCCGAAGGGCAUGCCUGUUUGAGUAUCGUGAACACCUCAACUCUCAUGGUUUGCCAUGAUGAGCUUGGACUUUGGGGGUUUUGCUGGCCUUUGGUCGGCUCCUCUCAAACGGAUCAGCUUUCCAGUGUUUGGUGGCGUCACGGGUGUGAUAACUAUCUACGCCUGUGGUUUUCUGCCAGAUAACCUUCAGCGAUGGAGGUUCGCUGGGGCUCAUAAAUGUCUCUCUUCAGUGGAGACAGCUUUUUGGACGUUUGAUCUCAAAUCAGGUAGGACUACCCGCUGAACUUAAGCAUAUCAAUAAGCGGAGGA
rnacentral:misc_RNA from 1 species